rnacentral:rRNA from 1 species
CCUACGGGGGGCAGCAGUGGGGAAUAUUGGGCAAUGGGCGAAAGCCUGACCCAGCAACGCCGCGUGAAGGAAGAAGGCUUUCGGGUUGUAAACUUCUUUUGACAGGGAAGAGCAGAAGACGGUACCUGUCGAAUAAGCCACGGCUAACUACGUGCCAGCAGCCGCGGUAAUACGUAGGUGGCAAGCGUUGUCCGGAUUUACUGGGUGUAAAGGGCGUGUAGCCGGGCUGACAAGUCAGAUGUGAAAUCCGGGGGCUCAACCCCCGAACUGCAUUUGAAACUGUUGGUCUUGAGUAUCGGAGAGGUAUGCGGAAUGCGCAGUGUAGCGGUGAAAUGCUUAGAUAUUGCGCAGAACUCCGAUUGCGAAGGCAGCAUACCGGCGGCGAUCUGACGCUGAGGCACGAAAGCGUGGGUAUCGAACAGGAUUAGAUACCCCUGUAGUC